rnacentral:rRNA from 1 species
GUGCUUGGGCGAGAGUAGUACUAAGAUGGGCGACCCCCUGGGAAGUCCUCGUGUUACACCCCUUUUUUUU